rnacentral:rRNA from 1 species
AGUGAACGCUGGCGGUAGGCCUAACACAUGCAAGUCGAACGGCAGCACAGUAAGAGCUUGCUCUUACGGGUGGCGAGUGGCGGACGGGUGAGGCAUACAUCGGAAUCUACUUUUUCGUGGGGGAUAACGUAGGGAAACUUACGCUAAUACCGCAUACGACCUACGGGUGAAAGCAGGGGAUCUUCGGACCUUGCGCGAUUGAAUGAGCCGAUGUCGGAUUAGCUAGUUGGCGGGGUAAAGGCCCACCAAGGCGACGAUACGUAGCUGGUCUGAGAGGAUGAUCAGCCACACUGGAACUGAGACACGGUCCAGACUCCUACGGGAGGCAGCAGUGGGGAAUAUUGGACAAUGGGCGCAAGCCUGAUCCAGCCAUACCGCGUGAGUGAAGAAGGCCUUCGGGUUGUAAAGCCCUUUUGUUGGGAAAGAAAAGCAGCAGGUUAAAACCCCGCUGUUCUGACGGUACCCAAAGAAUAAGCACCGGCUAACUUCGUG